ensembl:lncRNA
GGGGUUGUGUCAAGGUCGGAGAAGGUUCUGAUGAAAUGUCAGAUGAAAUGUCAGACACAGCGGGGGAAAGCCUAGGACACUCCAACUGGACGUCUGCCGGCUCUGACGUUUUUUGGGGGGAGUUAUAUUCGCAAAAUUCCUUUGGUUAUGCAAUACAGAGGUGAAGUCCUCAGUUUAUUAACGAGCACAAUGGAGGUCCAGUUAAUGAGGAUAAAAACCGCCAACGAACGUGAUUUAACUCGAAACUUAUGACGAAGUGGAAUACCCAGUGCGUAAAAAACACGAGUACUUGACUACGUCCGAUCCUCCUGAUAUAAACGCAGAAAGACUUUGGGUGACAUUCCGUCAUUUAUUUAACAUCCAUGGAAGGAGUCUCCAGUGUCGGACGUAAAGCUGUAACGUGAUCCUGAAAAGUGAAGCCUCAUGUGUUUGUUUGUUUGUUUUUUUCCUCCCCCUCUGGCUCUGAUGUCCUGUACUCGAGUAGAGAGUAGAGCUGACCGGAUCAUACAACCUCACACUCAUUAGUCUCUCACACACACCCCGCAUCCUCAUUCUUCUCUGGAUAACGGCCUAACACAGAGCUCUUUAUGCCUGGUACUUCAGUUCAGUGCACAUCACUUUGUGCUCAGUGGUCUGGUAAAGUGUUUUCCCCCAACACUUUUAACUUUCACUCCCAUUCACGCUCUCGCUUUUCCUCAUAGCAGCAAGAUCCCGAUUAACGAGGUGAACCCGAAUGCAGGAGCGCAGGAACAUGAUGCAUCUAUUUAUUUCAGUCGUGAUAACGGUGUGAUCGGAGUUUUAAUUCAGUCCGGUGUUAUUUAUAUACUCUUUUAAUGACGGGCAUUUACAGAAAGCAGCAGUAGUCGAAGCUACUGCUGUUGCCCCAGUUGUUGAAGCGGUACGGGUUACCCCGGAAGUUGAGGAAGCCCCAGUCGUUCUGGUUGUUGAAGCGGGUACGGGUUACCCCGGAAGUUGAGGAAGCCCUGGUUGCUCCAGUUGUUGAAGCGGUAUCUGUUACCCUGGUAGUAGUGGAAGCCCCAGUUGCUCCAAUUGCUCGAGAGGUACCAGUUACCCCGGCAGUAAAGGAAGAUGCUAUUGCCCCAGUAGUUGAAGAGGUACCAGUUACCCCAACAGUAAAGGAAGAUGCUGUAAUAGUUGAGGAGGUCCAAUUUACCCAAACAGUACAGGAAGUUUUUUUGCCCUAGUAGUUGAAGUGGUACCAUUUACCCCAGCAGUAGGUGCAGCCCCGGUUGCUCCAGUAGUCGAGUAGGUACCAGUUACACCAGCAGCAGAGGAAGCCUCUGUUGCCCCAGGUGAGGGCAUUUUCAGCCGUGUUUUGGUUAUUUGUUGUGUUCUAGUUUGUUUUCUUAUCUUUUAUGCCCUUUAAUUUUUGGAAGCUCCUCUGUGACAAAAAAAAAAAAAAGCAAAGUUCACCGGGAACAUUUCUUAAAAGCUGUGUGCUUCAGGUAGGAUAACAUAAGGUGAGCUGUAGGUUGAGGAAGCUGUGUGAUGAGAGUAGACUGUCUGUGUUUUAUAUCCAGGGAAAGCCCCUGUGAUCGGACAUGGAGAAAAUCACCUGAAUUUACUGCCCCUGCUGUUUCAUAGAACUGAACGUGAGGUGUUCUUUCAGCGGAGGUCUGUUAUUGACCUUUCUCUAACAGAUGUCUGCUGGAGUGGGUUUUAUUCUCCAUGUUUGCUCGUGUCAGCUGAUCAUGACCUCCAGAUGAUGUCUCAAUGUCGG